rnacentral:rRNA from 1 species
AGAGUUUGAUCCUGGCUCAGGAUGAACGCUAGCGGCAGGCCUAAUACAUGCAAGUCGAACGGUGUCUUCGGACAUAGUGGCGCACGGGUGCGUAACACGUAUGCAACCUACCUUACAUUGGGGGAUAGCCUUUCGAAAGGGAGAUUAAUACCGCAUAAGACAGUAACUUGGCAUCAAGUAGCUGUUAAAGAUUUAUCGAUGUAAGCUGGGCAUGCGUCCAAUUAGCUAGUUGGUGAGGUAAUGGCUCACCAAGGCUAUGAUUGGUAGGGGAACUGAGAGGUCAAUCCCCCACACUGGCACUGAGAUACGGGCCAGACUCCUACGGGAGGCAGCAGUAGGGAAUAUUGGGCAAUGGACGCAAGUCUGACCCAGCCAUGCCGCGUGCAGGAUGAAGGCGUUAUGCGUUGUAAACUGCUUUUAUACAGGAAGAAACGACUCUUGCGAGAGGCAUUGACGGUACUGUAUGAAUAAGCACCGGCUAACUCCGUGCCAGCAGCCGCGGUAAUACGGAGGGUGCAAGCGUUGUCCGGAUUUAUUGGGUUUAAAGGGUGCGCAGGUGGUUUAUUAAGUCAGUGGUGAAAGACGGUCGCUCAACGAUUGCAGUGCCAUUGAAACUGGUAGACUUGAGUAAAGUAGAGGUGGGCGGAAUUGAUAGUGUAGCGGUGAAAUGCAUAGAUAUUAUCAAGAACUCCAAUUGCGUAGGCAGCUCACUUGGCUUUUACUGACACUCAUGCACGAAAGUGUGGGUAUCAAACAGGAUUAGAUACCCUGGUAGUCCACACUGUAAACGAUGAUAACUA